rnacentral:rRNA from 1 species
GACGUAGGUGGCGAACGUUAUCCGGAAUUAUUGGGCGUAAAGGGUGCGCAGAUGGUCUGACAAGUUAGCAGUGGCAAAUCGAGGCUCAACCUCGUGGAAGCUGGUAAUACUGUCUGACUCGAGUACAGGAGAGGUUAACGGAACUCCAUGUGGAGCGGUAAAAUGUGUAGAUAUAUGGAAGAACACCAAUAACGGCGAAGGCAGUUAACUAUUCUGUUACUGACAUUGAGGCACGAAAGCGUGGGGAGCAAAACGG